GAUGAACGCUGGCGGCGUGCCUAAUACAUGCAAGUCGAGCGAACGGACGAGAAGCUUGCUUCUCUUAUGUUAGCGGCGGACGGGUGAGUAACACGUGGAUAACCGACCUAUAAGACUGGGAUAACUUCGGGAAACCGGAGCUAAUACCGGAUAAUAUUUUGAACCGCAUGGUACAAAAGUGAAAGACGGUCUUGCUGUCACUUAUAGAUGGAUCCGCGCUGCAUUAGCUAGUUGGUAAGGUAACGGCUUACCAAGGCAACGAUGCGUAGCCGACCUGAGAGGGUGAUCGGCCACACUGGAACUGAGACACGGUCCAGACUCCUACGGGAGGCAGCAGUAGGGAAUCUUCCGCAAUGGGCGAAAGCCUGAUGGAGCAACGCCGCGUGAGUGAUGAAGGUCUUCGGAUCGUAAAACUCUGUUAUUAGGGAAGAACAUAUGUGUAAGUAACUGUGCACAUCUUGACGGUACCUAAUCAGAAAGCCACGGCUAACUACGUG
rnacentral:rRNA from 1 species